rnacentral:lncRNA from 1 species
UUGCCAAGUGUGACAUCGAUGAGUGUCAGAGAGAAUAUAUUUUACGAGCCCAGAAUUGCUGACACACAAAGUAUCUAACUCUCACUUCAGGAUGAGGGACCAGGAAAGUCCCUCUGUUCCAUGGAGAACAUAGAGUAGUAGUGUGGAUUGGUUUGUUGUUUGUUUGUUUGUUUUCAGAGGAGGGGGCUGGCACUAGGGUAGAAACUAAUUUCUGAGCUCCAAAGGCAUGUCUUCUAGGCCAGACUUCUUGUUUUCCAGAAUAACUUUAUUCCUAAAUGACUCUUGUGAACACUACCCCAAUUAUAAUUAGAUCCUAUAGACAGAGAAGGCAUUUUAUCUGUGUUCUUGCAGGAAGAAUGCCAGAGUCCCUGCUUUGGGGGUGCAGACCGGGUAUGGGAGCAGGUGACUCAGUAGCUUACACAGGAGAUGAAUCUGCCCAACAUUUCCCCUUCAUCUUUUUUGUUUGUUUGUUUGUUUGUUUGUUUGUUUGUUUUUUCAAGACAGGGUUUCUCUGUGUAGCCCUGGCUGUCCUGGAACUCACUUUGUAGACCAGGCUAGCCUUGAACUCAGAGAUCUACCUGCCUCUGCCUCCCAAGUGCUGGGAUGAAAGGCAUGUGCCACCACGCCCGGCCCCCUUCAUUUUUAUUAGGGCAAAUGUCUGUUAGGUAGGGAUGGGGUGGGACAGGAAAACACGAGAGGUUAAGACAAAGUUGCUGUGAGCAUCUCUCUCUCCAGACCCUGGCUCUACCUCUUUUGAGGCCUGAUGAAUCACCAGAGCUCUCCUGUCUUGAUCUUGUUACUGAGAGGAUGGUUGGGGAACACUAUUAAAAGAAGAUUGUUAUUAUAAGAGUCUUUGUACCUGUUGCAGAAAGUCCAGUUAAACUGGCUCAAGUAACGGCAUCUAUGAGCUCACACAGGUUUCCUGAACCCACGCCGGUGCUGUCUUGCCUUCCUGUUGAGCGCUUCACUUAUGUGAUUUCAUUCUCAAGCCGGCUUUCUCUUCAUGGUUGCAGAGAGGCAGCCAGCACAUAAAGCAUGGCUUACACCCAUCUCUUGGUGACCAAAGACAAUGAACAUUGUUUGCUAUUUCCUAGAAAUUCUUAGUCCUGGCUUACUGGUUUUUCACUGGGUUGACAAAGAUCUGGCCAGGAGGCUGGAAGCCAACAUUCAGGGUGGGUCUUCCCACCUCAUUAGCCUAUGAAAAUUCCUCAUAGGCAUGGCUGCAGACUGCCCCAACUUAGACAGCUCUGUAGCAUGAAAUAAUAAAAGGGCAAAUCCAUGCUAUCACCGGUAGGCUCCCACAGGCUGGCCGACCUGUUCUAAUCUCGUGGAGACUCUCUGAGUCAGCUCCGAAAUCUCUCCACCCAGCUCACUAAGUUCCCACUGGCAGGUUGAUACCAUGCCAACCCCGUACUUCAGAAUUUCCACAGCCUUUUGGGGUGCACUUCUUGCAAACCCACACUUUGCUGCUGUAUCUUUCUCCUGAAACCCAGUUGAUCCUCCUCGUGAAGGAAAACACCACACAAACUUAGUUCAGAGUCAGUGGCAACUCAAUUGCUGGGCGCAAGAACUAGAAUCCUAAUCUUGUAAGUCAUAUUAAAUGUAAAUCCUCAGGUGGCGAAUCCAUUGAAAUUACUCCCAGGUGAUUCUAGCCUGUGUCAAGUUAACAGUUAAAAACAGUCCUUACAGGCCAGGCAGUGGUGGGGCACACCUUUAAUCCCAGCAUUUGGGAGGCAGAGGCAGGCAGAUUUCUGAGUUUGAGGCCAGCCUGGUCUACAGAGUGAGUUCCAGGACAGCCAGGGUUACACAGAGAAACCCUGUGUCGAAAAACCAUUCAAAACAAAACAAAAACUGUCCUUACAACAAGACAGUCUGGGUGGACUAGUCUGAUAGCCCCAAACAUCCCCCUGUCUCCAGCUACAUCUCAUGCUAGCAUUGCACCCAUAUGCUGCCAUACUUGCUUUUUAAAAAGUGGGUUCUAGGGCCUCAAUCUCAGGCCCUCCUGCUUAAGCACUUUACUGAUCCAGCCUUUUUGCUGCCCAGAGUUCACUGUUUUCCAGUGUAUCAUUUUUAGCACAUGCACAGCACUGCAGCCAUCACUACUGUCAAAUCCAGUUUAUCAUCCUUCCCCUCAAAGCCUGCCCUUGUUAGACACAUCCCACUCUGUCUGCCUCCCCUUUGUAGCCCCUGAUCUUCCUUCUGGAAGGUGAAUUCAGGAUUAUUGGAUGGCAACUGUCAGACAUUUUCCAGCAUGUCAUCUAUAAAGAGAAUAAACUUGCAGUUGGCAAUAACCUAACGAUUCUGAUUUCACUCCAUCUGUGCUUGGAGGAACCAUAAAGGUCGCAAUGGCCAAAUUAGAGCAAUAAACUGUUGCAGUUAUACAUACAGUCCUGAAAAUACAUGAAUGUUUAGGAUGAGGAGGGAGGGAAGGAACACAUGAUGAUGUCAAAACCCACAGGAUAAUUGGAGAGUUUCUAGCUGUAUCUUCUAUAUGAUAACAAUUUCAAUUAUCCAUUAAUGAGCUCUCAGUUUGAUGAGGAGAAAAAUAAGUAAGAAUUGUCACAAAAUUGGAAAAAAAAACCCACUUAUAUGUGUCUGUCUGUGUGUGCACAUGUGUAUGUACACAAGUGCAUGCAUGUGCUGUAUGGUAGAGGAGGCCAGAGGACAAAUUGCAGCUUCUUUCUCAUCUUGUGGUCCCCAGAGAUCAAACUCAGGUCAUUAGGCUUGGAGGCAAGUGCCUUUACUCACUGGGCCCUCUUCCUGGCUCCUGCCACUGAAUUUGGUAGAGAAAGACCUGGAGAUGGUGAAGAAAAUACCUAAUUUU